GGAAUCAACUGAUUUUCUUUAUUGUUAAUCUAGGGAGGUAAAAGGAUUAGAAACACUUUAUAAAGUUAUUAUGACGAGGAAGGAUGAAUCGACCGUCAGGAUACCACUAGUAAGUUCGAGAACAGGGAUGCGUUCAUCAAAACAAGACGCAUACCAAUCAGCGAAACAUCCUUGUGACUGGUAUGGCACGGUGACCUACUGAUGAAAAUAAAACCUUGCAUCCUGGAGAUUACUACACAGCAUCAAAUCCCAUCCAAUAAAAUCCCCCGUGGAAGGAACAUUGUUCAAAUUUUCCGUACCGUAAGCCAUACGAAGACGGCACCUUGCACAAACAGCAGGACUGUCUGUUGGAACGGUGGGUAUCAGGAAAAAGAAACCGAUAACAAAAACACACACACACAACACUUACCAGAAGAUGCGCUAUUAUCUUUCGCUC